GCCGCGGUAUUUUGACCGUGCGAAGGUAGCAUAAUCAUUAGUCUUUUAAUUGAAGGCUUGUAUGAAGGGUUGGACGAGAAAUAAGCUGUCUUUAUUGGAAAAAUAGAAUUUAACUUUUAAGUGAGAGGGCUUAAAUGUUCUAAAGGGACGAUAAGACCCUAUAAAGUUUGACAUUUUAUUCAUUAAAAAAUAAAAUAAUUAAUUAAUUUUUAUUAGUGGGGGUAAUGUUUUGUUGGGGCGAUUAGAAUAUAAAAAAUUUAACUGUUUUAUAUUAAUACAAAGUUGUUUGAGUGUUUUGAUCCUUAAUAAAGGUAUUAGAGUAAAUUACUUUAGGGAUAACAGCGUAAUUUUUUUUGAGAGUUCUUAUCGACAAAAAAGUUUGCGACCUCGAUGUUGAAUUAAAGAAUUCUUUAUAGCGCAGAAGUUAUAAAAGAAGGUCUGUUCGACCUUUAAAUCUUUACAU
rnacentral:rRNA from 1 species